rnacentral:tRNA from 1 species
ACGACGGAGGACAGAAAAAGACCAGUGAUAACCCUCCCGAUCUGACUACGGAUCAGAAGGUUGGGGGUUCGAGUCCCUCCGGGCGUGCCA